rnacentral:lncRNA from 10 species
GAGACGGAGUUUCACUCUUGUUGCCCAGGCUGGAGUGCAAUGGUGCGAUCUCGGUUCACCGCAACCUCCACUUCCCAGGCUCAAGCGAUUCUCCUGCCUCAGCCUCCCGAGUAGCUGGGAUUACAGGCAUGCGCCACUACGCAUUUUGUAUUUUUAGUAGAGACGGGUUUUCUCCAUGUUGGUCAGGCUGGUAUCAAACUCCCGACCUCAGAAGAUCUGCCCGCCUCGGUCUCCCAAAGUGCUGGGAUUACAGGCGUGAGCCACCACGCCCGGCCUAAAUUCUUAGCUGGUUUGUAAAGUGUUCUCUUGGUACAAUUUAUCAGCCUGAUUAGCGCUGGUUGAAAAAAAUAAAAUAUGCCCUAUAUGGCCCUAUAAAGCUAAAUGUUAGAUCACAGAUUUCUUUUUUUUUUUGUUUGUUUGUUUUUGAGACGGAGUCUCGCUGUCAUCCAGGCUGGAGCACAGUGGCACAAUCAUGGCUCACUGCAGCCUCAACCUCGCAGAGCUAACUUUUUUAUUUUUAAUUUUUAUAGAGAAAGGGUCUUGCUAUGUUGCCCAGGCUCAUCUCAAACUCCUGGCCUCAAGCAAUCUUCCUGCCUCGGCCUCCCAAAGUGUUGUGAUUACAAGUGUGAGCCACCGUGCCUGAUCUAAAAAAAAAAAAGAGUCUUAUUUGAAGGAGUAACACAGAGUACCAAAAAUUAAAAGAUAACUGGAAUUAGGUUAGGUUGCCUUCAAUCUUUAUUAUCUGAGCCAAGAGUAGGGUGACAACCAUCCUCAAAGAUGGUCUCCAUUCCUGCCUCUUAACGUUAUGUAGAUCCCUCCCAACUAAUAGAGCUAGCCAGUGCAACCAAUAAGAUUUAUGAAAAUGACUGAGUGUGACUUCUGGGAUUUUCGCCUUGCUCUUUCUGGGAUCAUUCAGUCUGGAGAAAACCAGCCACCAUGUUGUGAGGAUACUCCAGCAGCCAGCCCUAGGGAGAGAUCCAUGGGGCCAAGAAUUAUUGGCCAGCAUCAGCCUGCCAGGCAUGGGAGUUUAAGUCACCUUGGAGGUGGGACCUCCAGCCUCAGUCAGGCUUUCAGAUGACUCUAGUCCACAUAGAGAUCCUAAAUGUAACCUCAUGAUAUUCCAAGCUAGAACCACCCAGUGAAAUCACCUAUCCAUUCCAAACAUAAAGAAACUGUGUGAGACAAUAAAUGUUUCUAUGACAAGUACAGUAGCAUUUCAGACCUUUGUUUGAGGGCCUGAUUCUGGAUAUUUCUGUGCUGUUUACCACUGCUCUCCUCUUCCCCUCUCAGUGCUAGAGAUGCAGCUUCCUUUCCCACGUAUAAAU